rnacentral:rRNA from 1 species
UUAAGCGACUAAGCGUACACGGUGGAUGCCUAGGCAGUCAGAGGCGAUGAAGGGCGUGCUAAUCUGCGAUAAGCGUCGGUAAGCUGAUAUGAAGCGUUACAACCGACGAUACCCGAAUGGGGAAACCCAGUGCAAUUCGUUGCACUAUUGCAUGGUGAAUACAUAGCCAUGCAAGGCGAACCGGGGGAACUGAAACAUCUAAGUACCCCGAGGAAAAGAAAUCAACCGAGAUUCCCCUAGUAGCGGCGAGCGAACGGGGAAGAGCCCAGAGUCUGAAUCAGUUUGUGUGUUAGUGGAAGCGUCUGGAAAGUCGCAGGGUACAGGGUGAUACUCCCGUACACAAAAACACACUUGCUGUGAACUCGAUGAGUAGGGCGGGACACGUGACAUCCUGUCUGAAUAUGGGGGGACCAUCCUCCAAGGCUAAAUACUCCUGACUGACCGAUAGUGAACCAGUACCGUGAGGGAAAGGCGAAAAGAACCCCGGCGAGGGGAGUGAAAUAGAACCUGAAACCGUGUACGUACAAGCAGUGGGAGCCUUGAUUUAUCAGGGUGACUGCGUACCUUUUGUAUAAUGGGUCAGCGACUUAUAUUUUGUAGCAAGGUUAACCGAAUAGGGGAGCCGUAGGGAAACCGAGUCUUAACUGGGCGUCUAGUUGCAAGGUAUAGACCCGAAACCCGGUGAUCUAGCCAUGGGCAGGUUGAAGGUUGGGUAACACUAACUGGAGGACCGAACCGACUAAUGUUGAAAAAUUAGCGGAUGACUUGUGGCUGGGGGUGAAAGGCCAAUCAAACCGGGAGAUAGCUGGUUCUCCCCGAAAGCUAUUUAGGUAGCGCCUCGUGAACUCAUCUUCGGGGGUAGAGCACUGUUUCGGCUAGGGGGUCAUCCCGACUUACCAAACCGAUGCAAACUCCGAAUACCGAAGAAUGUUAUCACGGGAGACACACGGCGGGUGCUAACGUCCGUCGUGAAGAGGGAAACAACCCAGACCGCCAGCUAAGGUCCCAAAGUCAUGGUUAAGUGGGAAACGAUGUGGGAAGGCAUAGACAGCCAGGAUGUUGGCUUAGAAGCAGCCAUCAUUUAAAGAAAGCGUAAUAGCUCACUGGUCGAGUCGGCCUGCGCGGAAGAUGUAACGGGGCUAAACCAUGCACCGAAGCUGCGGCAGCGACACUUAGGUGUUGUUGGGUAGGGGAGCGUUCUGUAAGCCGUUGAAGGUGACCUGUGAGGGUUGCUGGAGGUAUCAGAAGUGCGAAUGCUGACAUAAGUAACGAUAAUGCGGGUGAAAAACCCGCACGCCGGAAGACCAAGGGUUCCUGUCCAACGUUAAUCGGGGCAGGGUGAGUCGACCCCUAAGGCGAGGCUGAAAAGCGUAGUCGAUGGGAAACAGGUUAAUAUUCCUGUACUUGGUGUUACUGCGAAGGGGGGACGGAGAAGGCUAGGCUAGCCGGGCGACGGUUGUCCCGGUUUAAGCAUGUAGGCGGAGCGACUUGGUAAAUCCGGUUGCUUAUCAACGCUGAGGUGUGAUGACGAGCCACUACGGUGGUGAAGUAGUUGAUGCCAAGCUUCCAGGAAAAGCCUCUAAGCAUCAGGUAACAUUAAAUCGUACCCCAAACCGACACAGGUGGUCAGGUAGAGAAUACUCAGGCGCUUGAGAGAACUCGGGUGAAGGAACUAGGCAAAAUGGUGCCGUAACUUCGGGAGAAGGCACGCUGGCAUUAGGUAAAGGGACUUGCUCCCGGCGCCGAAGCCAGUCGCAGAUACCAGCUGGCUGCAACUGUUUAAUAAAAACACAGCACUGUGCAAACACGAAAGUGGACGUAUACGGUGUGACGCCUGCCCGGUGCUGGAAGGUUAAUUGAUGGGGUCAGCCGCAAGGCGAAGCUCUUGAUCGAAGCCCCAGUAAACGGCGGCCGUAACUAUAACGGUCCUAAGGUAGCGAAAUUCCUUGUCGGGUAAGUUCCGACCUGCACGAAUGGCGUAAUGAUGGCCAGGCUGUCUCCACCCGAGACUCAGUGAAAUUGAACUCGCUGUGAAGAUGCAGUGUACCCGCGGCAAGACGGAAAGACCCCGUGAACCUUUACUAUAGCUUGACACUGAACAUUGAGCCUUGAUGUGUAGGAUAGGUGGGAGGCAUCGAAGCGUGGACGCCAGUCUGCGUGGAGCCAACCUUGAAAUACCACCCUUUAAUGUUUGAUGUUCUAACUCGGCCCCAUAAUCUGGGGUGAGGACAGUGUCUGGUGGGUAGUUUGACUGGGGCGGUCUCCUCCCAAAGAGUAACGGAGGAGCACGAAGGUUAGCUAAUCACGGUCGGACAUCGUGAGGUUAGUGCAAAGGCAUAAGCUAGCUUGACUGCGAGAGUGACGGCUCGAGCAGGUACGAAAGUAGGUCUUAGUGAUCCGGUGGUUCUGAAUGGAAGGGCCAUCGCUCAACGGAUAAAAGGUACUCCGGGGAUAACAGGCUGAUACCGCCCAAGAGUUCAUAUCGACGGCGGUGUUUGGCACCUCGAUGUCGGCUCAUCACAUCCUGGGGCUGAAGUAGGUCCCAAGGGUAUGGCUGUUCGCCAUUUAAAGUGGUACGCGAGCUGGGUUUAGAACGUCGUGAGACAGUUCGGUCCCUAUCUGCCGUGGGCGUUGGAAGAUUGAGAGGGGCUGCUCCUAGUACGAGAGGACCGGAGUGGACGAAUCACUGGUGUUCGGGUUGUCAUGCCAAUGGCAUUGCCCGGUAGCUAAAUUCGGAAGAGAUAACCGCUGAAAGCAUCUAAGCGGGAAACUUGCCUCGAGAUGAGUCUUCCCUGGGGCUUUAAGCCCCCUGAAGGAACGUUAAAGACUAUGACGUUGAUAGGCUGGGUGUGUAAGUGCAGCGAUGCAUUGAGCUAACCAGUACUAAUGAUCCGUGAGGCUUAACCUU